ncrna:unclassified sequences Streptococcus sRNA SpF59 (ldcC RNA)
UGACCAUCCCUCUGGUGAGGGAUCGAGGCUACACGGACGGCCGGGUCAGAUGCCGA